UCGGCCCUCGUGACUUCUUCCCCCCUAUGUCCAGUGCUCUCACCACUGCACAUGGGCCAGGACUGCUUUUAGGGUUCCCUGUUUAAGGAUGCUCCACCCACUUCCAGAGGCAACAGUCUCUCAACUUCGGGACACAAAUUUACUUUGGUGUUCAAAUGCAGCUAUACAUAUGCUACUGUGGCACCAUCUGUACAAGAAUCUUCACACUGGAACACCUGUGAUAUGCACUUCUAACCAAUGUUGAACAAUCUAUAUAUAUUUUCCCCACUAGCAAAUGGAACUCUUUCAACUCUGAAAUUUACUCAGUGAGUGGAAUUAAAAAUACUAACACCACAUCAUCAAGCUGUCAACUGAAGAGCUCUGCAGUAGCAUACAAAAGAAAAAGUUCUUUUUAUUUCAAACCUCUGGUGUAUUGGAGCCUUGACAGAAAUACAAAUAGAAGAAAAGGCUUUUCCUGAAAGCAUUUAUUUUUAUUUCAUUAAGACAUAUUCAGAAGCCAAAGCCAACGGUAGUUCUUAUUUAAACAAUCAAAAAUUCUCCACAUCCACAAGGCAGCAGGACCACAGAUACUGUGAGAAUGAUCACCUAAUGCUUGGUACAGCAUGUGAGGGAUUCUUUGUGUGAGCGCCACCCAAAAGUCUGCCUGUCACUGACCUAGACUGACACAACUUGCUUGCAAGACUGAUAAUGGCUGGGUGAAGUGCAUUAUGGAGAAUUUUAGACAAUAAUCAGAUUUGCAACAGAGAUCAAAUGAAAUUUGUAGUUUAUUCUCAUGUAUAAGACCUGCCCAGUGGGGAAAGUGUGCUGGCUUUAAGUCUGGUGAGAAAAUUUUAUCAUAUGAUAAAAUUGCCAGUAUAGUGGAUGAAUGUAAUAGCCUUCUGUUCAGAAAUACUUAUGAAACACACUUUUGCCUCCUAUUUUAAAGUUAAAUAAAAUGGUGGAAUAAAAUGGUUAAAUAAAAUUGUGGAAAAACCCACUAAAAGUGUGUGCUUCUUUUGAUAACAUUGACUCAGUUGCCAGAUUUAAUGCAAGAAUUAUACAGGAUCACUUAGCAGCAAAAAGGAUUGUGAUGUGUCAAAGAAGC